UCUAGAUAUUACGUAGCAUGAAGAUUGUUCGUGGCAGAUAUUGCGCGUAUUUUCUGAACUGUCGAUCACCAGAAUCUGAAUAUUAUCGGUGUGAGAACACGCGUUACUAUCACACCAAGAUGAUAGAGAUCUGCCUUUGGGAUAAAUGAUGUUGGCUUACUCCCAUCCGUGGCUCCGAUGGCUACACCUACCGAUUCAUGUGCAAGCUGAUGCAAAAAACCUGCGAACUACGUGUUGUUUUGAUAUUGCCGAGGAACUGCUAAGACAUCUAAUUGUGAAAAGAUUCUUACAUACUAUGUUUGUGGAUCGAACAACAAACUCUACCGGAACGAGUGCCACAUGAGGAAAGAGAAUUGUGGUUAGCGCAUGUUCGUAGUGCCGAUGCAGUAUUGCUCAAGAAUGGUUGAGUGUGCAUGUAUUUUUAUUUCCGUUUUCGUUAAUAAUAAAAUUACAAAAAUUAUUCAUAAA